rnacentral:rRNA from 1 species
CCAGACUCCUACGGGAGGCAGCAGUGGGGAAUAUUGCACAAUGGGCGCAAGCCUGAUGCAGCCAUGCCGCGUGUAUGAAGAAGGCCUUCGGGUUGUAAAGUACUUUCAGUCGGGAGGAAGGUGGUAAGGUUAAUAACCUUAUCAAUUGACGUUACCGACAGAAGAAGCACCGGCUAACUCCGUGCCAGCAGCCGCGGUAAUACGGAGGGUGCAAGCGUUAAUCGGAAUUACUGGGCGUAAAGCGUACGCAGGCGGUCUGUCAAGUCGGAUGUGAAAUCCCCGGGCUCAACCUGGGAACUGCAUUCGAAACUGGCAGGCUGGAGUCUUGUAGAGGGGGGUAGAAUUCCAGGUGUAGCGGUGAAAUGCGUAGAGAUCUGGAGGAAUACCGGUGGCGAAGGCGGCCCCCUGGACAAAGACUGACGCUCGGGUGCGAAAGCGUGGGGAGCAAACAGGAUUAGAUACCCCGGUAA